rnacentral:tRNA from 1 species
GAGGGUGUAGCUCAGUGGUAGAGUAUCUGCUUAGCAUGCACGAGGACCUGGGUUCAAUCCCCAGUACCGCCA